GAGACAGACAAACAAGUCCGGUGAUUUUUGUCUUUUAAACCAGAAAGACGGCUGACAGAUCUAACCGACACUCGCGCCACAGAAACUAAUUUAACAGAGCAAAGGCAGCGUGGAGUGCUGGGAUGUCAAAGGCAACAAGAUGGCUGCAAUACUACGAGCCUAAAGUGAAAAAAAGGAGCCUGAGCAGGUGCAGAAGGCAGCAGUCCCCAUCAUUGCUGCUGAGGAGGAAGAGGAAAUGUCACGAGGGAACCCACUGGAUGUUUUGAUUGUCUUUGAAGACGGAGAGGUGAUGUCAACCAAGUCUAGGGUCAGUGCACUGCUGCUGCUUUUGCACUUUAUGCCCUCAUUUAGAGUACACUAACUUCUCAAAGCAGCUUUACAGAAAAUGCAUGUGUCUACAUUACAAUUUAGCCUGACCUGUACUAUAAAUACUAUUCUUUUCAACUUGAAUAGUGUUGUAUCAUGUGAUUUAAAGUGAU